rnacentral:lncRNA from 10 species
UUUGAAUAUCAGAUAAAUAACAAAAAUUUAUUAGUACAAGUUUCCUGCAAAUCCACACUGAACAGAAUAUUAUGUUCAUUGUUCAUCUUAAAUUCAAAUUUAAUUGGGUACACUUUAUUAUGUGGUAACAAUAUUCAGGUGGUAGACCAAAAAAUUCAAAAGUGUAUCAAUAGCUUCAUUUGGUUAAGCAUAAAGAGCAAAAGAAAUUUAAAUAUCUUCCUGUUGACAAUGUAAAUUAUUACAGUUGGAGAGAAAUUUGGAAAUUUUGUAAAAUUCAUACAUGAAAGUUCUUUUUCACCAUAAUUCCACCUUUCAUUUAUGUUCUGGAUAGACUUGAGCAUAUAUUUGAAGGAAAACAUGAACCCAAGAAAUAGCAUUGCUUUUAAUUUUCCAACAAAAGAAGAAAUAGGUUGUAAUUUACUAAAAUUGAAAAAAGUACAGCUACAUGUGGCUACAUAUUUCAACAUGGAAGAAGUCCACCGAGAUUUCUGAAAGAAAGAGCAAAUCUUACAAAAACGUACUUUUUAUUUAUAAAUACAGACAUUAAAGACAUAAAGAGCCCCGUGUCGUGCUGCCCCUCCUGAUUAGGCCUCGGGGCCGGCCCUGGCCACUGUCCCUGCAGUGGAUGCAAUCGCGGCGGCUCCAGUCCUCAGGCGGCUCCAGUCCUCAGGCGGCUCCAGUCCUCAGGGGGUUCCAGUCCUCAGGCGGCUCCAGUCCUCAGGCGGCUCCAGUCCUCAGGGGGCUCCAGUCCUCAGGGGGUUCCAGUCCUCAGGCGGCUCCAGUCCUCAGGGAGCUCCAGUCCUCAGGCGGCUCCAGUCCUCAGGGGGCUCCAGUCCUCAGGGGGUUCCAGUCCUCAGGCGGCUCCAGUCCUCAGGCGGCUCCAGUCCUCAGGGCGGCUCCAGUCCUCAGGGCGGCUCCAGUCCUCAGGGCGGCUCCAGUCCUCAGGGGGUUCCAGUCCUCAGGCGGCUCCAGCACCCGCGACCCGCCUGGCUCCGUCUGAGUCCGUGGUUAGGCUCCCUCCAUCCCUGCGUUCCCUGGCCUCCCUCUCCUGUUGUUUUCCCCAGAUUCACCCCAGCACGGCCCCAUGGCGCAAGGAGACCCGCUGGAAAGGAAGCAUUUGAACUCCAGAAGCACAGGACUUGCGACUUUCAGCCUUUGCGCCCAUCUCUGCGCCACCAGCCCCGCAGAAGUAGCUGGGAAUGGAGCUGUCCCCAUCCAGAGACAUCUCCAGGCUCACCACGGAGCAAAUUCUGUGCAGAAGAAGAGAAUAAACGCAUGCGGAACAGAAGGCGUUUUAGAAACUAGUUUCCAACCGACAGAUCCACCUCGUACUUCUGAUGCACGGUCACAUGCAUUUCUCCU